CAGUCGAACGGGGAUAGCAAUAUCCUAGUGGCGAACGGGUGAGUAACGCGUGACCUACCUGCCUUGUACAACGGGAUACCCGAGGGAAACUUCGGUUAAUACGGUAUAAGACCACACUACCGCAUGGUAGAGGGGUAAAAGGAGAAAUCCGGUAUAAGAUGGGCUCGCGUCGCAUUAGCUAGUUGGUAAGGUAACGGCUUACCAAGGCGACGAUGCGUAGCCGACCUGAGAGGGUGAUCGGCCACAUUGGGACUGAGAUACGGCCCAGACUCCUACGGGAGGCAGCAGUGGGGAAUAUUGGGCAAUGGAGGAAACUCUGACCCAGCAAUGCCGCGUGAAUGAAGAAGGUCUUCGGAUUGUAAAGUUCUUUAGUUAGGGAAGAAUGUAAUGACGGUACCUAAAGAAUAAGCCCCGGCUAACUACGUGCCAGCAGCCGCGGUAAUACGUAGGGGGCAAGCGUUGUUCGGAAUGACUGGGCGUAAAGGGUGCGUAGGCGGUAGUACAAGUUAGAAGUGAAAUACCCAGGGCUUAACUCGGGUGCUGCUUCUAAAACUGUACGACUUGAGUGCAGUAGAGGUUAGUGGAAUUCCUAGUGUAGCGGUGGAAUGCGUAGAUAUUAGGAGGAACACCAGAGGCGAAGGCGGCUAACUGGACUGUAACUGACGCUGAGGCACGAAAGUGUGGGGAGCAAACAGGAUUAGAUACUCUGGUAGUCCACACUGUAAACGAUGG
rnacentral:rRNA from 1 species